CUGUCUCAGACUAGCCAUGCAUGUCUAAGUAUAAAUGCUAUACAAUGAAACUGCGAAUGGCUCAUUAAAACAGUUAUAGUUUAUUUGGUAAUCGAAUUUACAUGGAUAACCGUGGUAAUUCUAGAGCUAAUACAUGCUGCUAAGCCCAACUUAUGGAAGGGCCGUAUUUAUUAGAUAACAGACCAAUAUUCUUCGUGUCUAUUGUGGUGAAUCAUAGUAACUAAUCGGAUCGUAUGGGCUAGUCCCUCGACAAACCAUUCAAGUUUCUGCCCCAUCAGCUUUCGAUGGUAGUGUAUUGGACUACCAUGGCUUUCACGGGUAACGGAGGAUUAGGGUUCGAUUCCGGAGAGGGAGCCUGAGAAACGGCUACCACAUCUAAGGAAGGCAGCAGGCGCGUAAAUUACCCAAUUCUGACUCAGAGAGGUAGUGACAAGAAAUAACGGGCAGGGACUUUUGUCCCUGGACUGCAAUGAACCGAAUCUACACACCUUAGUAAGUAA
rnacentral:rRNA from 1 species